rnacentral:rRNA from 1 species
AACGAACGCUGGCGGCAUGCCUAACACAUGCAAGUCGAACGAGACCUUCGGGUCUAGUGGCGCACGGGUGCGUAACACGUGGGAAUCUGCCCUUUGCUUCGGAAUAACAGUUAGAAAUGACUGCUAAUACCGGAUGAUGUCGAAAGACCAAAGAUUUAUCGGCAAAGGAUGAGCCCGCGUAGGAUUAGGUAGUUGGUGGGGUAAAUGCCUACCAAGCCGACGAUCCUUAGCUGGUCUGAGAGGAUGAUCAGCCACACUGGGACUGAGACACGGCCCAGACUCCGACGGGAGGAAGCAGUGGGGAAUAUUGGAAAAUGGGCGAAAGCCUAAUCAAGCAAUGCCGAGUGAGUGAUGAAGGCCUUAGAGUUGUAAAGCUCUUUUACCAGGGAUGAUAAUGACAGUACCUGGAGAAUAAGCUCGGGCUAACUCCGUG